UGAGGAAUAUUGGUCAAUGGCCGCAAGGCUGAACCAGCCAAGUCGCGUGAGGGAAUAAGGCCCUACGGGUCGUAAACCUCUUUUGUCAGGGAGCAAAGCUUUCCACGUGUGGGAAGAAGGAGAGUACCUGAAGAAAAAGCAUCGGCUAACUCCGUGCCAGCAGCCGCGGUAAUACGGAGGAUGCGAGCGUUAUCCGGAUUUAUUGGGUUUAAAGGGUGCGUAGGCGGCCUUUCAAGUCAGCGGUAAAAUUGCGGGGCUCAACCCCGUAUCGCCGUUGAAACUGGCGGGCUCGAGUGAGCGAGAAGUAUGCGGAAUGCGUGGUGUAGCGGUGAAAUGCAUAGAUAUCACGCAGAACCCCGAUUGCGAAGGCAGCAUACCGGCGCUCAACUGACGCUGAGGCACGAAAGUGUGGGUAUCAAACAGG
rnacentral:rRNA from 1 species